rnacentral:rRNA from 1 species
CCUACGGGUGGCAGCAGUGGGGAAUAUUGCACAAUGGGGGAAACCCUGAUGCAGCGACGCCGCGUGAGUGAAGCAGUAUUUCGGUAUGUAAAGCUCUAGCAGCAGGGCAGAAAAUGACGGUACCUGACUAAUAAGCCCCGGCUAACUACGUGCCAGCAGCCGCGGUAAUACGUAGGGGGCAAGCGUUAUCCGGAUUUACUGGGUGUAAAGGGAGCGCAGACGGCUGUGCAAGUCUGGAGUGAAAGGCGGGGGCCCAACCCCCGGACUGCUCGGGAAACUGUAAAGCUGGAGUGCAGGAGAGGUAAGCGGAAUUCCGAGGGUAGCGGUGGAAUGCGUAGAUAUUAGGAGGAACACCAGUGGCGAAGGCGGCUUACUGGACUGCAACUGACGUUGAGGCUCGAAAGCGUGGGGAGCAAACAGGAUUAGAUACCCCAGUAGUC